rnacentral:rRNA from 1 species
GACGAAGGACCCGAGCGUUAUCCGGAUUCAUUGGGUUUAAAGGGUGUGUAGGUGGAUUGAUAAGUCAGUGGUGAAAUCUCCAGGCUUAACCUGGAAACUGCCAUUGAUACUGUCAAUCUUGAAUAUGUUUGAUGUGGGCGGAAUAUGACAUGUAGCGGUGAAAUGCUUAGAUAUGUCAUAGAACACCGAUUGCGAAGGCAGCUCACAAAGCCAUUAUUGACACUGAGGCACGAAAGGUGUGGGGAUCAAAACAGG